CAAUAGCGUAUAUUAAAGUUGUUGCAGUUAAAAAGCUCGUAGUUGGAUUUCUGUGAGAGUGCCGGUGUCGGCUGAUGCUUGUACGCAGGCGCUCUUACAUCCUUCUGUUAACUGAUCUUGGCAUUUUAUUGCUGGUUCAGGGCUCAGAUAUUUUACCUUGAGAAAAUUAGAGUGUUUCAGGCAGGCUUAUGCCGGAAUACAUUAGCAUGGAAUAAUGGAACAGGACCUGUGCGUCUUUCGGGGCGCCGGUCUCCGUUAUUGGUUUCGGGGACUAAAGUAAUGAUUAAUAGGGAUAGUUGGGGGCAUUAGUAUUUAAUAGUCAGAGGUGAAAUUCUCGGAUUUGUUAAAGACUAGCUUAUGCGAAAGCAUUUGCCAAGGAUGUUUUCAUUAA
rnacentral:rRNA from 1 species